rnacentral:rRNA from 1 species
GAUGAACGCUAGCUACAGGCUUAACACAUGCAAGUCGAGGGGUAACGAGAGGAAAGCUUGCUUUCCUUGUCGACGACCGGCGCACGGGUGAGUAACGCGUAUCCAACCUGCCCCCAACUAGGGAAUAACCUUGCGAAAGUAAGACUAAUACCCUAUAAUUUCCUCAGAUGCCAUCUGACGAGGAAUAAAGAUUUAUCGGUUGUGGAUGGGGAUGCGUCUGAUUAGCUUGUUGGCGGGGUAACGGCCCACCAAGGCAACGAUCAGUAGGGGUUCUGAGAGGAAGGUCCCCCACAUUGGAACUGAGACACGGUCCAAACUCCUACGGGAGGCAGCAGUGAGGAAUAUUGGUCAAUGGGCGGAAGCCUGAACCAGCCAAGUAGCGUGCAGGAUGACGGCCCUAUGGGUUGUAAACUGCUUUUAUACAGGAAUAAAGUUAGCCACGUGUGGUUAUUUGUAGGUACUGUAUGAAUAAGGACCGGCUAAUUCCGUGCCAGCCGCCGCUGUAAAAC